CGUUUUCAUUCGUUAGCGAUAAGUUGAUAAGAACUCAAUCGAUAAUGCUUAGUCAUAUAAUUAUAUAAGUUUGAUGCGUAAAUAUGGUACAGAGUUCAUAAGAACAUGACAGUACAACUCAUUAGAAACACUCUUGUGACCCAGAAUUUUAGAAAAUUUCAAUGUUAAACACAUCAACUUCACUUUUCCUUCGACUUUCUAAAUUAUCAACUAAGCAUAUUGUUAUUCUAAAAGAUAGUCGCAUUUGCUUGACAACAAUUUCAAACAGAAUGGUAGAUAUAACUUUUAAAGGGCAUGGCGAUCGUUAUGACGGAAUAACAGUCGAUUCUGAUGUGGAACCAUGUCAACUACCUGCAUUUCUAAAACGUCUCCAAGCAUCCCUUGAACAAUGGAAAAAAGAAAAGAAACGCACUAUAUGGUUUCGAAUCAGUUUACCGUAUGCUUCUUGGAUUCCUAUUCUCACUGAGAAUGGAUUCAAGUUCCAUAAUGCAAGAGAGCACCAUGUCACUCUCUAUCGAUGGCUUUCUGAUGAUGAAUUUUGUAAUGUACCUCCUUAUGCACAUACAUUACUUGGUGUCGGAGCUUUUGUUUAUAGAGAGAAUACCAAUGAAGUCCUAGUUAUUAAAGAGAGACACUCUCCUAUUGUUACCUUGUGGAAACUUCCUGGUGGAUAUCUUGAACCAGGGGAAAACAUUUCGGAUGCUGCUGUAAGAGAAAUACUCGAAGAAACUGGAAUUCAGGCAGAGUUUAAAAGUCUCGUAACUUUUAGACAUGGUCACAAGUAUGCUUUUGGAUGUUCUGAUAUUUAUAUGAUAGCAUACAUGGUUCCACAGACUUUUGAAAUUCAAAAAUGCAAUCAAGAAAUUUCUGAAUGUAUUUGGAUGAAAUUGAAUGAGUAUGCAGAACAUCCUGAAGUACAUGAAAAUAAUAAGGAAUUUGCAAGACAUUUUAUCGAUUUUCUUAAUCACCGAAAAAGUAUAGUUGUAUCAUACGAAAGGCAUCCCCUCAGCAAGGAGCCAAUAUGUGUCUACAGUAUAUCUACGAUUCCUAAUAAAUACAGGACCCCAAAAAUGGAGCUAAAACCAUCCUACAAAGCGCACAUACAAAAUAGAUGGAUCGAUAUGCAUAUGAAUGUGCGCACUGGCUAUACUUCAUUCACACCUCGCUUUAAUUUCUCACUAAGAUUAUUUUUUAGCAACGAUUUGACAUUGCGUGGACACGGUUAAUAGUGCAACUUGACUUAUUUAAAGAAGGGGAAAAAAUAAUAUAGAAGGAUAGAUCGACGAUUUCUUAGAAGGCCAAUGGACGGCACCUACUCUAUAGACGUACUUCUCUUCAUAAAUCUAAUAGCUUCUCGCAAAUCGCAAAUUGUUUAUCGUUAAUCGAUAAUACAUCAACUGAAGGACUAUCGGUAAUUAAAGCGCAGCAGGAUCCUUAUGGUGUUCAUGUUUAAGUUAAAUCCUCAUCCUCCUCAUCCUCAUCUCUUGAACCUCCUGUAGGACAGCACAGUCCUUCCGUGCCGUCGCUUCGUAUACAGAAGAGCAGAGUCUCUGCAGGUGUC